UACGGAGGAUGCAAGCGUUAUCCGGAUUCAUUGGGUUUAAAGGGUGCGUAGGCGGACUAUUAAGUCAGUGGUGAAAGCCUGCAGCUUAACUGCAGAACUGCCAUUGAUACUGAUAGUCUUGAGUUUGGUUAAGGUAGGCGGAAUGUGUAAUGUAGCGGUGAAAUGCUUAGAUAUUACACAGAACACCGAUUGCGUAGGCAGCUUACUGAGCCGACACUGACGCUGAGGCACGAAAGCGUGGGGAUCGAACA
rnacentral:rRNA from 1 species